rnacentral:tRNA from 1 species
UCCCUGGUAGUCCAGUGAUUAUGACUCUGUGCUUCCAAUGCAGGGGUUGUAGGUUCCAUCCCUGGUCAGGGAA